UACUGACUUUAAAGCAGAUUUAAUGACUUUGUUUAAUCUUGCAAUCUUGGAAUAUUGCUAUCGAACUUGGGUAAUUAUCAAUAAUUAAAACACUCACACUUCGGCGAUAAUCACACAAUUUUUAGCUUUCGGAAUAGACAAGGUGGAAAUACAUUGGAAAGGGGGUAAUAUUGAAACUCUACUUAACACCAAAGAAGCCCAAUGGAUUUUCAAUGUAAAAACUUUAAUAAAUAGUCUCAAUCAAGAAAUAGAUUUAGCAGGACUUAUUUGACUUCAUUAUUUGUCUUAUUUUUUUCUGGUUAAUAUUGGUAUCUGGUCUCUUUC